rnacentral:rRNA from 1 species
AUUGAACGCUGGCGGCAGGCCUAACACAUGCAAGUCGAGCGGAUGAAAGGGGCUUGCUCCUGGAUUCAGCGGCGGACGGGUGAGUAAUGCGCAGGAAUCUACCUAGUAGUGGGGGAUAACGUUUCGAAGGAACGCUAAUACCGCAUACGUUCUGAGGAAGAAAGCAGGGGAGUCGUAAGACCUUGCGCUAUUAGAUGAGCUUGCGUCCGAUUAGCUAGUUGGUGGGGUAAAGGCCUACCAAGGCGACGAUCGGUAACUGGUCUGAGAGGAUGAUCAGUCACACUGGAACUGAGACACGGUCCAGACUCCUACGGGAGGCAGCAGUGGGGAAUAUUGGACAAUGGGGGCGAACCCUGAUCCAGCCAUGCCGCGUGUGUGAAGAAGGCCUUCGGUUG